UGGGGAAUUUUGCGCAAUGGGCGAAAGCCUGACGCAGCAACGCCGCGUGUGUGAUGAAGGUCUUCGGAUUGUAAAAGCACUUUCGACCGGGACGAAAACCCCUUGGCUAACAUCCAGGGGCUUGACGGUACCGGGAGAAGAAGCACCGGCUAACUCUGUGCCAGCAGCCGCGGUAAUACAGAGGGUGCAAGCGUUGUUCGGAAUUAUUGGGCGUAAAGCGCGUGUAGGCGGCUUUGCAAGUCGGGUGUGAAAGCCCUCAGCUCAACUGAGGAAGUGCGCCCGAAACUGCAGAGCUUGAGUGCCGGAGAGGGUGGCGGAAUUCCCCAAGUAGAGGUGAAUUCGUAGAUAUGGGAGGACACCGGUGGCGAAGGCGGCCACCUGGACGGCAACUGACGCUGAGACGCGAAAGCGUGGGGAGCAAACAGGAUUAGGAUACCCUGGUAGUCCACGCCGUAAACGAUGAGAACUAGGUGUCGUGGGAGUUGACCCCGCGGUGCCGUAGCUAACG
rnacentral:rRNA from 1 species